rnacentral:lncRNA from 1 species
GGUUUUGGUGAAGAUUAGACUUGGUUUUGACUGAAUUUCAGAUUGAAACUCGUCGAAGAAGAAGAAGACAUAUUUCCAGAAAUUGUAGUUAAAUUGUAAAAUUGUAGAUAAAUUGUAGAUAAUUUGUAGAUAAAUUAUAGAUUGGGAAAACUGAAACUUCUACAAGUCUUCUACAAUUAUGUCGAAAAAUGCCAAUUAUGCUACAAUUGAAAUGAGGAAGACUAAAACUUCUACAAGCCUUCUACAAUUGUGUCAAAAAUGCCAAUUAUUCUACAAUUGAAAUGAGAAUUGGGAUAUUAAAAUUCAAUGUAUUAAGUUUGUAGAUAUCUUGUAGAUAAAAUUUCUAUAAAUAAACUACAAAUCAAUUUAAGUAUUGUAUAAAGUUAUGUUGUUUUUAAUAGUAUCUACAAUUACAUGCCCCCAAGAUUUGUGGUAUUAUUUGUCAAUUGUACUAUUUUAACUAAUGAGGGUUCUAUUCUUUGCAGAACGAAAACCGAACCUUAUGGAAAUUGGGUACACUGUCUCCACGCUUAAUCACAUUCUAUUCUACUACGAAGCCACUCGACAAAUCUUGGCAUGUGUUGGGGGGAAGGGUGGGAGGAGAGAGGCGAGUAAACUAAAAUUGGAAAAUACAUGCUCCUAAAAUCAUGCCUAGUAUAAAUGAAGCAAUAAUUAUACCCUUAAUUUGGAUUAUGGUAUAUAAAUGGUAAUUUGGUAUGCUUAACUGUAAUUAACACAAUCCUUAAACAACGAAGGUAAUAAGGUUUGGUAUAUAGUAUAACUAUAUAAAUAUCCCUUGAAUUAAACAUGCUUCUUCGAAUUGGAUUGAGAUGUUCUAUUACUAUAUCUGUGUUCAAAGUGUGCUGGAAGUCAGAAUUCAUCGUGUUGUCGUUAAUAUAAAUGGUUCAGCUCUUUACAAUCAUCUUGUUUACCUUCCAUUUUAUUAGUUUAGCGAAUCCAUGUUCGUUUCGUUAUCGUUAUAUGCUAGCAUGUUUUUGGUUGUUACCUUGAUUUUUUAUCCGUUUUCUUGAUGGUUAUUGUUUCGUAGAUUUGCUUUGUGAUAACAGAGUUUGGUAAAGUGGUAAUUUGUAAUCCUCUUUUUGUUUACUACUAAAAUCUUUGUGUUAAAUUUGGUUAGCCAUUCACUGGGUUGAGAAGAAAUUCACCUUUGUUUGUUAGUAGUAGUAACAUUAGAUAUGGGCAGGCUUCAUAUGUAUUAAUAUUUGUGAGGGAAUCAAGACGGUAGUAUUUGGAGUUAAAAGAAUUUUAUGCGAUCUAGUUUUCUGCAUUUGAUUUAGUGUUAAUCCUGCACUGCACAUUUUCGUUAUUACUAUUUGUGAUCUUAGCAACUGCUACUUACCUAUUAGCUUUCAUGACUUGCUCAUUCCUGAAUUACUUAGGAGAAAUGGAUAAGAGAUUUUCCAUGUCAUCGCAAAGUAGAAAAUUGUAGUUGCUUUAGGUUUGCGUUUUAAAAUAAUAAAUGAGACGAGUCUCGCCGAAUAAAAAUAUACAAAUUGCGGGGUCCUCAUAAAAGUAUAUAGUAAAAAUACUUAAACUUCGGGAUGAGCCGUUUAACAAACUUCACGGCCUUUCCCAAAAAAUAGUAACACCCUUUUUGCUUUAACUUUUGCUUUAAUUUUAACUUUCGC